CCUACGGGUGGCAGCAGUGGGGAAUAUUGGGAAAUGGAGGAAACUCUGACCCAGCAACGCCGCGUGAAGGAGGAAGGUUUUCGGAUUGUAAACUUCUGUUGCGAGGGAGGAAGAAUGACGGUACCGCGUGAGGAAGCACCGGCAAACUACGUGCCAGCAGCCGCGGUAAUACGGAGGGGGCAAGCGUUGUCCGGAAUGACGGGGCGUAACGGGAGUGUAGGCGGCCUUUUCAGUUCUCUGUGAAAGCCCCCGGCUUAACCGAGGAACUGCCUCUAAAACUGGCGGGCUGGAGUGCAGGAGAGGUAAGCGGAAUUUCUAGUGUAGCGGUGGAAUGCUUAGAUAUUAGGCAGAACACC
rnacentral:rRNA from 1 species